CAGUAGCCGCGGUAAUACAGAGGGUGCAAGCGUUAAUCGGAUUUACUGGGCGUAAAGGGCGCGUAGGUGGUUAUUUAAGUGAGAUGUGAAAGCCCCGGGCUUAACCUGGGAACUGCAUCUUAUACUGGGUAACUGGAGUGCAGUAGAGGGUAGUGGAAUUUCCGGUGUAGCGGUGAAAUGCGUAGAUAUCGGAAGGAACACCAGUGGCGAAGGCGGCUACCUGGACUGAGACUGACACUGAGGCGCGAGAGCGUGGGGAGCAAACAGGAUUAGAUACCCCCGUAGUCCCUGUCUCUUAUAC
rnacentral:rRNA from 1 species